AAUAGGUCCUCGCGGCCGACCUCCCAACCCUCUGUUUAUCGAAUCGUCUGUUGCUUCGGCGGGUCCUGUCUCGCGACCGCCCGGGAGACUGUGUCACCACGUCCCCGGGCCCGCGUCCGCCGAUAGCCCACCACAAUAAACUCGUGACCGAAUCUUGUGUUAUGUCUGAAUCUCAUGAUUUUAAACGCAAAACUUUCAACAACGGAUCUCUUGGUUCUGGCAUCGAUGAAAAACGCAGCGAAAUGCGAUAAGUAAUGCGAAUUGCAAAAUUCCCGUGAGUCAUCGAAUCUUUGAAAGCACAUUGCGCCCCCUGGUAUUCCAGAGGGCAUGCCUGUUCGAGCGUCAUUAUCACCCCUCAAGCCCUGUGCUUGGUGUUGGACGCAGGUCGGCGUGACGCCGACCCCGUCCCAAAGACAAUGACGGCGGCCCGUGGAUCCCCCGAUACACUGAGCUUCCAAGUGAGCACGUGUCGGACUAUGGCGCCCGGGACACCGUCCCCUUCCUUUAGGAAACUCUUCAGAGGUUGACCUCUGAUAAUGUAGAAUACGCGCUGAACUUAACA
rnacentral:rRNA from 1 species